rnacentral:lncRNA from 10 species
GGGUGGAUAAUCUGUUACCUAGGUGGUUGUUAUUCUAAGUGUCAUGGGAAGCUAUUGGAAGGUUUUGAGUGAAUCACAUGGUGUGACAAUUUCAGGGAGGGAUACAUCACAGAGGCAAUAUUGCUAUGCCACUUCAGACAUAUUAGCAUGCUGCUUUCCCAAAGUUCCGUCAUUAGUCAUUGUUAGCUCUGUGGCUAGAAGACAAAGAAGAGUUUCUUGAAGUGGGAAAAGAAAUUAUGGUACUCUCCUUCUAAGUUGAGAAUAUCCAAAUUUGUGGAUGUUCAGGGCAGACACAACCAUUUAUCUUUUCUCAAAUAUUUUUUCAUGGUUGGUUGAAUCCCUGGAUGUGGAACCCACAGAUACAGAGGGCUGACUGUAACAGAUGCUAUGUACCAAAAUUAGGAGUUUUGCAAAAUUGAUAAAAUACCUAAAUGUAAACCUGAAACUAUAAAUUUCCUAAAAGAGAACAAAGGGAAAAAGUUUUUGGACACUGGCAGUGGCAGUAAUUUUUUGGAUAUCAUACCAAAAGCUCACUAUAAAAGCAAAAAUAAAUAAAUGGGACUAUAUCAAACUAAAAAGCUUCUGCAUAGCAAAGUCCAGAUACAGUCUGUCACAGCUUCCCUUGGCUAGGAAAGGGAAAUCCCCCAACCUCUUGCUUUUCCUGGGUUAGGCGAUGCUUUGCCCUGCUUUGGCUCACCCUCUGUGGGCUGCACCCACUGUCCAACCAGUCCAAGUGAGACGAACGAAGUA